rnacentral:rRNA from 1 species
GUCUAUGGCCAUGCCACCUUGAACAAGCCCGAUCACAUCUGAUAUCAGAAGCUAAGCAGAGUUGGGCCUGGUUAGUACUUGGAUGGGAGACCACCUAGGAAAACCAGCAGCAGUAGGCG